UAGAUAGAUGACAGAUAGAUAGAUCUAUUAAUUUAUGUAUCUUCCUGGGAAGGAUCUCUAGUCUGUAAUUCCUAAGGUUCUUGCUAUUUUGUGCCGCGGCUUCGGUGUCCUCUGGCCUCUGAGAACGGUUGUCUACAGUGGAUGGGCUCAAGCAGAGGAAAAAAACACUGAGGCAGUGUAAAGAGUCAAAGUUAAUUGUAGGGCAAGGCCACUGGGAAGAUGGAAAGGAGCUGAAAGGAAAAUGAAGGAGGAACCAGGAGAACAGCUUGGAACCCGACCUUUCACAAGGUCGGUGAGGCCACAUACGGCAGAAGGGGAGGGGUGAGCUCAAGGCAGCCUCCUCAGGAGCAUGCCUCUCCCUCUUCCUCAUCCCUGGGGUCCUGGCCCCUGAGGAUGCUGUGCUUUUAAUCCCAGAAGGUGGCUGCCUCACUCAAGUGUGUGUGUGGCGGGCACUGACCUUGCACAGUACUAAAAGGAUAUAGUUUCCCAAGUUAAGGCCAACAAGCCAUUCAAGCCCUCUUAGGAGAGCUUAUUUACCUUCCGCACACUGCCAUGGGUGCGUGCUGCGUCUGUGCAUCUGUGUGUGUGUGUGCGCGUGUGUGUGCAUUGUGUGUGCCUGUGGUGGAUGUGUGUAGUGUAUUGCGCUUUUCCUGUGUAUGUGUAUGUAUGUGUGAGGUUUCUGUGUGGGAUGUGUGUAUGUGUGGUGUGUGUGUCUGUUUUAGUCUAUGUGUGGUGUGUCUGUGUAUCCAUGUGUGUAUGUGUGUGUGUGAUGUGUGCUUAGCCUGUCUGUGUGGUGUGUCUGUGUACCGUGUGUAUGUGUGAUGUGUGUGUGGUUUAUAUGUCUGUGUGUGUGUGGUCUUUGUGUGUCUAGGUUUUAGUCUAUGUGUGGUGUGUCUGUGUAUCUGUGUGUAUGUGUAUGUGUGUGUGUGUGUGUUUAGCAUGUCUAUGUGACGUGUGUUUGUGUAUCCAUGUGUAUGUGUGUGAUGUGUGUUUAGCAUGUCUGUGUGACAUGUGUGUAUGUGUUUUUGUAUGUGUGUGCCAGUGUACAUGCAUAUAUGUACACAGACACAUGGACGCCAGAGUUCAUGUAGGCAUCUCCCAUGAUUGCUCCAUGCCAUACACAUCCGGACAGACUCACCACUUGACCUUGGGCUGCCUGUUGGCCUGUCUAGGCGGCUGACCUGCCUGGGGGUCCUGCUCCACUAUCUCCCUGGGUGAUGUCACAUGCUUUAAGGGGGGGUGUGUGUGGCAAAGCAUCUUACCAGGGAGCCAUGUCCCUAACUCACCAGCCGAGGCUUUACAGCCUUGGUCCUGUGUGCUGGAACCAGCAGGCAGGAUCAGGGUGUGUGUGCCUUCCCUGAGCACACCAUAUCUGUCAGUGGAGUCAACCUCACAGAACCUGGGGUCCAGAAACCAGCGGGCCCCAAGACAGGCUGAGGACAGGCUGAGGACAGGCAGAGGACAGGCAGAGGACAGGCUGAGGACAGGCAGAGGACAGGCUGAGGACAGGCUGAGGACAGGCUGAGGACAGGCUGAGGACAGGCAGGGGACAGGCUGAGGACAGGCAGGGGACAGGCUGAGGACAGGCUGAGGACAGGCUGAGGACAGGCUGAGGACAGGCAGGGGACAGGCUGAGGACAGGCUGAGGACAGGCUGAGGACAGGCAGGGGACAGGCUGAGGACAGGCUGAGGACAGGCAGGGGACAGGCUGGAAGCAAGAUGGCAAAGAAACAACUCUUAGGCGUCUCCCUCCUGCCUUGAUGGUGUGUGGGAUAACUGAGGGAACUGUGAAACCGGGACACAGCUAGCCAGGGAGACCCAGGAGGCUGUAGCCAGGGACGGCCGCUGUCCACCAUGGUGGGGCCAGCUCCGGGGGUCUCCCUGCAUGGGUGCCUGCCCAUUGCUCCCGGAGGCAGUGGGGACUACAGGGAACUGGGCUCGGCAUGAACUUGCACUUCGGAGUGUUAAUGUGCUUUAGGAAUUGUGUGAACGCUUGUUCCAGGAGUCAGUCUGCAGAGGUUUCCUGUGAGCCUGUGAGUCACCCAGAACUUGAUUUCCGCCUCAUAAACAGUUGCCUCAGCGCCCUAAUCCCAGCUUUCCUCGCAAAGGCUCGUGGUAAUGGUGCAAAGGGAAGAACAGGGAAACGUAGGGUGGCUGGGGGUCCCGAUGCAGCAGGGCAUCUCCUGUCGGCUGUUCCCCAACAGCGUAGGGUUUGCCCGAGCGCGGCAGCCCCGUCGGGCCGACGUGAGGAAGCGGAAGCUGCAUCCGGCUAGGCUCUUUGAGCAGGACCUGUCUGCUCUACCAAGACGUGAUGAAUUAGACACAGCUAGCAAGGUAGGAGCUAAGAAACUGAACAAAACCUGCACCCUUCUCCUCAAGAGGAAGAGGAGGCAGGAAGUGCAGGGACUGAAGAUUGGCUGGGAGCUAACAGCACUGAUUACUCUUCCGGAGGAACUGGACUCCUACCAAUCACCUGAUUGUAAGACUCAAGGCCCAGUGUCUUCUGGUCCCCUGAGCACCUGCACACGCAUGGCAUGUGUGUGCACAGACGCACGUAACAGUCUAAAGACGUCAAAAAAAGACUGAAAACCAAAAAGGUGAAAGACCUGUAGAAUCUUUGUUUCUCUUUUUGAAUUUUGCAGCUCUGGGGCUGGAACCGUGGCGUCACCAACGGUAGGCUUGCUUUGCCUGAGUCAAGUCCCCGCUCUGUGGUAUCUUGAUUUGUUGUUUUUGUUUUGUCGGUCGGGGGUUUUGAUUUGUUUGUUUGCGACAAUGUCUCACAUAGCCCGGGCUGGCCCUAAUCUUGCCUGCCAGGAGCCAAAGCUAUCUACGGAAGCCAAAGUCAAAGCUAUCUAGUGGAGACAAAGGUAGUUACUGAAGCCAAAGCCAAGUAGAGAGCAAAGGUCAUUUAGUGGAGACCUAAAGCUAUUUAGUGAAAGAGUUAUCUAAGACCCUAAAUCAUGGGUGACAGAUUAUGAGGACAUCCGUCUGUUAGAGCAUCCGUAAGAUAUCUUAAGAGAACAUCCUUACGGUAUCUUGCAGGUGCAAUAUUUAACCCAUGAAGGCAUCUUCCUAUCUCCUGCAGCAGUAGAUUAACCUUCCCCCUUUCCUGCCUUCUCCCUAUAUAAGUGAGAUAAAAAUUUCUAAUAAACGGAAGCCUUGAUCAGAUGAACAGACUUGGCUUCAUUCCCGCAUCUCUUGUUCCUCCCCUCCCCCAUUCCUUCCAAUCUCCUCCUUAGGAACCCUGUUGAAGCCCCGAGGGCCAGGGGCACUUGCCCUAGCUCCUUAAAAUGGUUUUGAACUUUCGAUGCCCCUGGGUCUCAUCCCAAGCACUGGGCUUACACUGUGUCGGUGUAUGUGGGGCUGCGGGAGGGAACCCAGCGUCUCCAGCACGCAGAGCAAGGCCUGGUCCUCUCAUUCUGCGCACUGGCUGCAGUCCUGGCAGGAAGCAGAGCGCUGACCUUUCGCCCUGCCCCUCAGAAUGUCUGUAGGACUGACACAGCAUUGACCAAGCAAGAAGUAGCUGAGGACAUCAGGUGGGUGCGCCUGGACUCUCAGGAGACUUUGUUUGCCAGCUACCCAGGCUGGUGAUUCCCAUCAGCGCUCCUGAAGAUGUUUGGGGCUUUGGUGGGUCUACCUACGUGGCUGGAGGCAGCUGGAGUUCUGAAUAAAGAGAUUGUUUUCCUCCAUUAGGGACAGUGUGAGAGUCAGAAUGGAAUCCACCAAGAAAAUCUGCCUUGUUUCCAAAUAUUUGUUACAUCAUUAGCGGGUUUUGUAAAGUCUUGUUUAACUAGACAUGGAAAACAAUCUCUUCUGCCUGGUGUUGUGAGAUUAAACACAAGAAAAGAAAACAUAGCGAUACAACUCAAAAGUGGGGAGAGAUGGUGGACGUCUCUGUCAUCGGGCCUAGGAGACUGGCAGUUCCUCGCCACACGCCAACCUGCACCACCGCUUAGACUCGAUGUCCCUUCUCCAGACCCAUGAUCAAAAAAAUGCACUGUGAUGGAAGACCAGCAAAGCACCUGGGCCCUGCCUCUGGCUUUGGAGCUUUACCUAAGCUUGUCACUCAGAGAAACUGAGGUUGACAAAUCCACGUAAAUGCCGAUCAGAGAAAAGGCGAGAAUGAAAAUGUGGCUCAGUAGAAGGGGCGAGAGUCUUAAAGCAGAGGAGACAGCAAGUCAGUGUAGCGAUGUCCACUGUGGAAUGGCCUCACCUUGUGGAGUGGGGCCUGCGUGACUGUGUGCUGAGAGAUGGAGCUUAGGGUCAGAGAUGCCGAUUUCAGUGCCCUGAGAUCUGCUCUCCGCCCUGCCAUGGGCAUGAAUGUUGAACCAUCUUCUGUAUCCAUGUGAUGUAAGGAAUGCUCCACAGUUAUCCCAGAUUGGCUAAUAAUGUUGCUGACAGCCUGGGCUGGCCAAAAGAGAUGUAGGCAGAAUGGAAGUUCCCCAGCUUGGGGGUGUCUGAGGAUGGACCACAAGGAGAAGAGAAGGAGGAGGAUGGAGAGGAGCCAGGAAGUCACCAUGGAAACUGCCUCCUCGUCGUUCAGGGCACCUCAGUGCUCACUCUUCCCACGCUGACAUGAGUUUAGUUGUUUAGAAGAUGUUUUUUUCCUGCUGCUGAGGAUCCGUGGCACCGUGAGGAGCUGGGCGCUGGAGUUUGGCCACUUCCACUGGUCUCUUCAUUCCUCCUCUCCCCCCUUUCUGUUUCAAUUACUUCCCACCACCAAAUUUUAUGACUGACUAAGUCCUGACUGUUCAAAGUGGAAAGCUUCGGUGAUUUAGCUGUUUGGGUGCAAACGGGGGUAGAGCUGUGUUAUUCGUCCUCUGGUCUUUAACCACGUGCUGGAUUUAACCGUGUGCCUGGAUGCCAGCGCUCUGGGUGGGAAUGGAGAACUUGCUCCUCUGGCCACAUCAAGUGGAGUUUCUGCUCUGAAUCCAAUUACUUCUGAUGUUAUUUUUAGUUUUUUGAAGCUCUCCACCACUGAUUUUUGGUGGAAUUGGAAGCCACACGGCAAAGCCUGUCACAAAAAAUACAUGCUUGGAUAAUUGCUGCUGGGCCCUGGGGGCUAACGAGGGAGCUACCAGCUGGGGAAGUUUUUCUACAAAAUACCCCAGGCAGGAAGAGGCUCCGGCAGAGCUGCGCCACAGAUUCUUUCCCUGUAGACAAACUUUCACCAGGAGUUGGACUCCGACGAUUAGUGCUUUUUUUCCCGAGCAGCCUCAUUGUUGGGUAAAAGACAUGCCUGGUGCAUUUGUCUAAGCAUUGUAUGAUGAUUUUAUACACAUACACACCGUCACACUAACUCUGUCCGCCCGGCUGGGUGGAGAGACACCUAGGAGUUUCAUCAGCCAGGCCUCUGGCUGCACCCACAGGGUGUUUCCAGACACGAGGUCAUGACGGCUGGCUGACGGAACCUAAAUUCCCUGGGAGGGUCAGGCUAUGAGGUGCCCGUUAGACUGGGCCUCUUCUAGCUUCUCCUUGCUAUGGCUGCUCUCUGCUCUAUCUGCCAUCCUGGGAGCUGCUCUGUUCCCUCACGCCCUCCCUGCCCUGCAGACUGACACUUCUGAAACCAUGAGCAAAGCAAAUCUUCAUUCUUAUGUAGCUUCUGUUAAAUAACUGGUGACAGAGAUAAAAGUAUGACAUAUACAUGCAAACACACACGCACUCAUACAUGCAAACUCACACAUGCACUUACACACAUGUACACACAAGCACACAUAUGUACUAAAAAUGUGUAUAUUCACACAGACAUAUUCUUUUCCAAACCAAAAACAAAUUGUCUCUUGAUGGUGUAACCAUGAACAGAAAAAGUCAUUCCACACAGUGCAAAUCUCUACUUGAGUCUCAACUUAGAAAUGUGAGCCAGCGAGCUGUGCAGCCAGCCUAACGCGCGUGACUAACAUAUCACUGGCAGGGCUCCGCCUGUGGCUCCUUCUCAGGAAGGCUGGAGGAAGGCUGGACAGGCAGAGUCAAGGCCAGCAAGUGCCUGGCUUGGGGAUAAGCUUCUGGCUUCCUGCUUCCAGCUUCCAGCUUCCUGCCUCCUGCCUCCUGCUCCCAGCUUCCAGUCUCCUCAAAGCAGCCUGGCUUCUAGAACCAAAGCCACACCGACAAACUCGAAGGGUUUACUGCUCUGUGCAGCCCUGCUGUGACAGCCCCCGGCUUCGGUUUUGUGUCUGCCAGAUCAACCUUCCAUCUUCAAGGCCUUCUCAGGAUUUUCCCACUGUGGGACACCAACUUUGUGGGAGCCCCUGCCCUUCAAGAAAGGAGUCCCUAAGCCAAGAAAGCAAACAGGGCAAGAACCUGCCCGGCUCCCAGCUUCCCAGCGGUGUUCAUGGGAAGUGUCCUGACUGCUGUCCCGGGCAGGAAGACCAGCUCGCCUACCCAGAGAAAGAGCGAACGCCUCACACAGCCCUGCCCAACUGUCUCAGCCACGCAGCACAGACACACAGCAACUGAGCCUGCUUCCUCAAGUGGCACUCAUCCCCUUCCCUUGUAAACCUUUAGAAGAGCUGCUUUGACCGCAUGGCUGCCAAGUCUUACUUCAGACCCUCAGAAUAGUGCUUGCUAUGGUCUGGGCAGGCCCUUUGCCUGAAGGAUUCGGCUCAGUGUCUCUCUCUCAAAGUCCCUCUCCUCGCCUUUCCUAACACCUGAUAAAUGUUAAUCUCUCCUUAGUUAAUUCGUAAGCACUUCAUUCUCUCCCAGUGUCCCCUUUGUUAGUGAGAAUCAAGCCCUUCAAUUUAUUCUAGUCAUCAGUUCUCUCUGUCCUGCCCUCACCGUCACCCUCUCCUCCCUCACCCUCUCCUCCCUCACCUUCUCUCACCAGACCUCACAUGGCCCAGCCUGGCUUUGAACUUGUAGCCCUCCUUCUUCAUCCCCCAGGUGCUGGUAUUACAGGCCUGUGACAUCAUGCCUGGUUUUUAUUUUUGGUAUACCCAUCAUGUGCCAGGCAACUUCUAUCCUGUGGAAAUAAUGAAGAAUAAGGCAAAAAUGAUGCAAAGCAAGUGAAAUAAAGCCUCCUUUGAAGGUUGGAGUCUAGUGGAAAGAUUGGCAUUGUUCCACAGUUAUAAAGUCAACAAGACAGUUAGUUACAACUAGUACCUGGUGUUUGGGGGAGACCAGAGAAUGUCCUCAGUGUGGUACAGCCUGAGAUGAAUCAAGAGAAGGGAACGGGAAGGCGGUCACAAGGCCAAGGAGGAGCUCCUGUGACAGGGACGGAAGCACAAGACCUACGCGUGAUGAGCCGCCUGAGCUCGUGACGCCAGGGCGAGCCCCAGCUCAGUCUAGCCGGUGUGUACCGUUUCCCACAUGAGCUCUCACACCCCGUUUAACCCAAAGAAUGUGCCCGGGAUAAAGGAGCCAGCAGAGUGUGUGUGCGAGUGGAAGGAGCGUGUGAUGGAACCCCAGCAAGGCAGAAGAGGACCCCCAUUGCCACAGCACCGUGGGGGGGGGGCUGGCAAUGACCCUGUCACCUUGAGCGCCUGAGCACACUGAUCGGCACCCACAGGCUGGUGGUCACCAGGUCUCACUGUGCUCUGUGCACACUUAUGCAACCGCCCAACCAAAAUCCCUGUUUCUGUCUUCCACGACCCUGUCCUCCAGGCUUCCCCACCUCAGCCAACGCCUGCUUCUCCGUCCAGAUGCUCAGGCCGAGGCCCUGUGCUCGGCUCCCUUCUGCUCAGCCCGCCAGUGCUUACCUGCUGCUGCCCGGGGCUGUCCCUGGAGCCCGCUGACCCGAGAGGCCGGGGCGGACACACAUCAUACCCUCCUCUGCUAUGCCACCUCUUACCCGGCUGCAGACAGGCCUG